rnacentral:rRNA from 1 species
UACGGAGGGAGCUAGCGUUGUUCGGAAUUACUGGGCGUAAAGCGCACGUAGGCGGCUAUUCAAGUCAGAGGUGAAAGCCCGGGGCCCAACCCCGGAACUGCCUUUGAAACUAGGUAGCUAGAAUCUUGGAGAGGUCAGUGGAAUUCCGAGUGUAGAGGUGAAAUUCGUAGAUAUUCGGAAGAACACCAGUGGCGAAGGCGACUGACUGGACAAGUAUUGACGCUGAGGUGCGAAAGCGUGGGGAGCAAACAGG